rnacentral:lncRNA from 1 species
GCUUUAUAGUCCCCGUCAGCCUUUUUCAGAUUUAUGUGGCACCUAAUGCCUCUGCAUUUUAGUGCAAGAAUAGCCGGUUCCAUUGAGACCAGUAGUUUUUUCCCCCCUGUGAGACAGGUUAGAAAAACCAGCAUAUAUAAGAUUGUAGCAAGGCAAAGAAGUAAUGCGCUCCCCUAUAUAAGUUGAUUUUUAUAUACCUCGAUGAAGAAAGUAUUUCUGAUGCAGCUGAUCAUUUUAAAAUAUACAUCCAUUUUUGUAGUUCCGAUUUGGUGGAGGCGGUGAGAAGGGCCCAGCGAUCUCAGCCCAAGAGGCUCAAGCUCAAGCUAUUCUUCAGCAAGCCAGGAUUGCCAUGAGGGGGCCACCUGGCCCUAUGGGACUCACUGGAAGACCAGGCCCUGUGGGUGGCCCAGGUUCUUCAGGUGCCAAAGGAGACAGUGGAGAUCCAGGUCCUCAGGUAAGACACUCCAUUAUAGCACGGCUCAUCAUUGUUAACAGUAAGUUAAAAAGAGAGGCCUAAAAUCUAGUUGCUCAGCCAAAGUAAAAGAGAUCCUU